AAGCCUAACGGCUGAACUGGCAAUCCGGAUAAACGAAAUAGAAUUGUAUAUUUACUAAAAUAAAGUUUUAAGUACGUAUUAAUAAUGAUAAUAUGUAUACUAGUCUUGACCAAUUACGUGCCAGCAGUCGCGGUAAUACCGUAAGAGACGAGCAAUUAUUCAUAUUAAAUAGGUUUAAAGGGUACCCAGACGGUCAAAAUACCUUAAAUAAAAAGAAGUACUAGACUAGAGUUAUAUGUGAGAAGACCGUACUUGACGUGGAGGGAUUAUAUCCUGUGAUACUGAAAGGACUGAUAAAGGCGAAGGCUGUCUUUUAUGUAAUAACUGACGUUGGAGGACGAAGGCAUAGAGAACGAACAGGAUUUGACACCCUAGUAGUCUUUGCAGACAAUGAUGAAUGCCAUAGAUUAGAUUGAUCUAAAUUUAGUCUAUAAAUGAAAAUGAAAGCAUUUCACCUCAAGAGUAAUGU
rnacentral:rRNA from 1 species